rnacentral:lncRNA from 1 species
AAAACCCUCAACAUCAUAAAAUCAGCAAAUUGAAAGGGAAUCCAUGGUCUAAAUCAUUGCAUGUGCACAUAGAAACAUUCAACUAAGUUAGUCUAUCGAAUGGAAGACACAAGCCAUUCCGGAGCACAAGCAAAACACGACAAAGGUAAAUCUACUUGUUAAAUGGCGUCACUCGGAUCGAACACACCCAUGAAGCACGCUUCCGCAAGGAUAUUAGCUUGGGUCAAACUUUUGUUAAUUGUACUUUUUGGUAAAAUGGGUCUUUUUGUAAGUAACCAAACUUGUUUGUUAUUAGAUGUCGAACUCGUAGUCGAAGUCUAUGUUAGUUGUUUAUGAAUGUUGGAUUGUAAGUUAUUUUAACACCUCCUAGUUAGUCGUGCUAUGGUUAAUGCAAAAAUUUUUGCUUACGAAUUUAUU